AGAGUUUGAUCAUGGCUCAGGAUGAACGCUAGCGGCAGGCUUAACACAUGCAAGUCGAGGGGUAUAGUAGCAAUACUAGAGACCGGCGCACGGGUGCGUAACGCGUAUACAAUCUACCUUUUACAGAGGGAUAGCCCAGAGAAAUUUGGAUUAAUACCUCAUAGUGUUAUAGAAUGGCAUCAUUUUAUAACUAAAGUUCCAACGGUAAAAGAUGAGCAUGCGUCCUAUUAGCUAGAUGGUAAGGUAACGGCUUACCAUGGCUACGAUAGGUAGGGGUCCUGAGAGGGAGAUCCCCCACACUGGUACUGAGACACGGACCAGACUCCUACGGGAGGCAGCAGUGAGGAAUAUUGGACAAUGGGCGCAAGCCUGAUCCAGCCAUGCCGCGUGCAGGAAGAAGCAUCUAUGGUGUGUAAACUGCUUUUGUACAGGAAGAAACAUCCCGACGUGUCGGGACUUGACGGUACUGUAAGAAUAAGGAUCGGCUAACUCCGUGCCAGCAGCCGCGGUAAUACGGAGGAUCCAAGCGUUAUCCGGAAUCAUUGGGUUUAAAGGGUCCGUAGGCGGUUUGAUAAGUCAGUGGUGAAAGCCCAUCGCUCAACGAUGGAACGGCCAUUGAUACUGUCAGACUUGAAUUACUAGGAAGUAACUAGAAUAUGUAGUGUAGCGGUGAAAUGCUUAGAUAUUACAUGGAAUACCAAUUGCGAAGGCAGGUUACUACUAGUGGAUUGACGCUGAUGGACGAAAGCGUGGGGAGCGAACAGGAUUAGAUACCCUGGUAGUCCACGCCGUAAACGAUGGAUACUAGCUGUUCGGAGCAAUCUGAGUGGCUAAGCGAAAGUGAUAAGUAUCCCACCUGGGGAGUACGUUCGCAAGAAUGAACUCAAGGAAUUGACGGGGGCCCGCACAAGCGGUGGAGCAUG
rnacentral:rRNA from 1 species